UGAGGACUCCCUCCGUCCAAAAAAGCUUGUCCCUCAAAUGGAUGUAUCUAGCACCAAGUUAGUGCUAGAUACAUCCAUUUGAAGGACAAACUUGGGACAAGCUUUUUUGGACGGAGGGGGUAUUUU
rnacentral:pre_miRNA from 1 species